rnacentral:rRNA from 1 species
CCAGACUCCUACGGGAGGCAGCAGUGGGGAAUAUUGGACAAUGGGGGGAACCCUGAUCCAGCGACGCCGCGUGAGUGAAGAAGUAUUUCGGUAUGUAAAGCUCUAUCAGCAGGGAAGAAAUUGACGGUACCUGAGUAAGAAGCUCCGGCUAAAUACGUGCCAGCAGCCGCGGUAAUACGUAUGGAGCAAGCGUUAUCCGGAUUUACUGGGUGUAAAGGGAGCGUAGGCGGCCUGCCAAGUCUGAUGUGAAAUACCGGGGCUCAACCCCGGGGCUGCAUUGGAAACUGACAGGCUGGAGUGUCGGAGAGGCAGGCGGAAUUCCUAGUGUAGCGGUGAAAUGCGUAGAUAUUAGGAGGAACACCAGUGGCGAAGGCGGCUUGCUGGACGAUGACUGACGUUGAGGCUCGAAAGCGUGGGGAGCAAACAGGAUUAGAUACCCGAGUAAUG